CAACCCUCAAGCCCCCCCGGGGCGCUUGGUGUUGGGGACCGGACGGAGCCCCUCCCGGGGCCUCGCGCCGCCCCCGAAAUUCAGUGGCGGUCCCGCCGCAGCCUCCUCUGCGUAGUAGCUCUUACGAACCUCGCACCGGAGAGCGGCUGGCCCACGCCGUAAAACCCCCAACUUUCUGAAU
rnacentral:misc_RNA from 1 species